rnacentral:rRNA from 1 species
AACGAACGCUGGCGGCAUGCCUAACACAUGCAAGUCGAACGAGACCUUCGGGUCUAGUGGCGCACGGGUGCGUAACGCGUGGGAACCUGCCUUUAGGUUCGGAAUAACUCAGAGAAAUUUGAGCUAAUACCGGAUGAUGUCUUCGGACCAAAGAUUUAUCGCCUUUAGAUGGGCCCGCGUUGGAUUAGCUAGUUGGUGGGGUAAAGGCCUACCAAGGCGACGAUCCAUAGCUGGUCUGAGAGGAUGAUCAGCCACACUGGGACUGAGACACGGCCCAGACUCCUACGGGAAGAAGCAGUGGGGAAUAUUGGACAAUGGGCGAAAGCCUGAUCCAGCAAUGCCGCGUGAGUGAUGAAGGCCUUAGGGUUGUAAAGCUCUUUUACCCGAGAUGAUAAUGACAGUAUCGGGAGAAUAAGCUCCGGCUAACUCCGUG